UAUGCUGGAUUUUGUGACUUAAAAACAUACAUCAGGGGCAAGGUAUGAUUAGCCGAGGGAGGUGAAGAGACGGGACUGGAAGGAUCCUGGAAGGAAAGGAAAUUUGGUCUAGGCCUUGAAUGAAGUAUAAAAUCUCUGCGCGCGGAUAAGAGGUGAUUGCAGGGCUAAAGGGCAUUCCAAGAAAACCUCGUGGUUUAUUCUGGUGCUUGAUCUCCAAUUUAGAGGAUUUCCAAAAAGCACAGGUGGCCUGAGGGUCAGCUUACAAGUUGGAAUAUGACACACGGGGUUUGAGUUUCCUUGACGUUUGAGUGUGUCAAGGCCAGCUUAGGUGUACCUCAGACUGAGCCAGAACUCCAAAUUAGUUUCAGAGCUUUCCUGAUCUCCUGGAAGUGCUUAUGACCACAAGACGAGUCUCUGGGUCAGGACAGAUGAGGAGGUCAGGAAGCCCUCCCCCGCAGACCUCCCACCCGCUCCAGAUGGAGUUAAUAAUUGCCCCCGCCCAGCAACCUUUGCUGCUCUCACUUGCUCCUCUUGCUGCAGUCAUUACACAGCUCACUUUGUUUACAGGAUCAUCUUUCCUCUAUGCUCUGGGCUCCUUGAGAGCAGGGCUCUGUUUUAUUCUCAGUGUCCCUGGGCGUCUUUAGCAUCUAGUACUUUCCUAGCACCUAGCUGAGGAGGGACUCAAUUGAGUGGGAGAGAAGAGACGCCACAGCCAACCCCAGAUCCCUGCUGGUCUUCACAGAGGCAGCGUAUUUUCCCGUGGGUUGUCGAGACUCUCCUCCAGCUCUAUGAGCUGUGAACGGCUAAGAGAGCAGGAAACAUGUCCUAUUCACAUCAUCAGGCAAAAUGCCUGCCCCUACCCGAGGCCUCAAAAUUCAUGAAGAAGAUGACUUGGACCCAAAAAAUUGCUCCUCCAUUUACCUUCAGUUUCCAACCCUGUUACCACUCACUGGAAGAUGGUGGGAGAUCUAUGAUGGUUUUCCCAUUUGCCCGGUGAGGAUUCGUCUCAAUCAACUUUGUCAAAGACAAAUUCAUUUCACUUCUUACUGAUAAGAGAUAUUAUCUUACUGACAGAAUAUAUCACACUCAUGCAAGAAUAUUUUUAAGUUAUU